GUGUCAGCAGCCGCGGUAAGACGGAGGGUGCAAACGUUGUUCGGAAUCACUGGGCAUAAAGCGCACGUAGGCGGUGCACUAAGUCAGGUGUGAAAGCCCCCGGCUCAACCGGGGAAUGGCAUCUGAUACUGGUGUGCUCGAGGACGGUUGGGGUGAGUGGAACUCCUGGUGGAGCGGUGAAAUGCGUAGAUAUCAGGAGGAACACCGGUGGCGAAAGCGGCUCACUGGGCCGUCUCUGACGCUGAGGUGCGAAAGCUAGGGUAGCGAACGGGAUUAGAAACCCUCGUAGUCC
rnacentral:rRNA from 1 species